UACGAAGGGGGCUAGCGUUGCUCGGAAUCACUGGGCGUAAAGGGUGCGUAGGCGGGUCUUUAAGUCAGGGGUGAAAUCCUGGAGCUCAACUCCAGAACUGCCUUUGAUACUGAAGAUCUUGAGUUCGGGGAGAGGUGAGGUGACUGCGAGUGUAGAGGUGAAAUUCGUAGAUAUUCGCAAGAACACCAGUGGCGAAGGCGGCUCACUGGCCCGAUACUGACGCUGAGGCACGAAAGCGUGGGGAGCAAACAGG
rnacentral:rRNA from 1 species